rnacentral:sRNA from 1 species
UUUAGGGACGAUUACUUUGCCAAAAAAAAUGAAGAAAGAAAACAAAAUAAAGUGGAAGCUAAAUUAAGAGCUAAACAGGAGCAAGAAGCAAAACAAAAGUUAGAAGAAGAUGCUGAAAUGAAAUCUCUAGAAGAAAAGAUUGGAUGCUUGCUGAAAUUUUCGGGUGAUUUAGAUGAUCAGACCUGUAGAGAAGAUUUACACAUACUUUUCUCAAAUCAUGGUGAAAUAAAAUGGAUAGACUUCGUCAGAGGAGCAAAAGAGGUUUGGAAACAUCCCUAUCCUUUUUAGCAAUCAGUUUGAAAAUCUGUAGAAACUUAGACAAAAUUAGUAGAAAGUAAUUUUAAAAAUUGUGUUUAUUAGUUUCUACUUGAUCAUUUGUUAUUGUCACUAGAUGUGAUGUCUGAUAUUUUCUGAAUUAUACUAAAUUAGUUUGUA